rnacentral:rRNA from 1 species
AAAUGAAUUGACGGGGACCCGCACAAGCGGUGGAUUAUGUGGAUUAAUUCGAUGCAACGCGAAGAACCUUACCUACCCUUGACAUGCCAGGAACCUCGCAGAGAUGUGAGGGUGCCCGAAAGGGAACCUGGACACAGGUGCUGCAUGGCUGUCGUCAGCUCGUGUCGUGAGAUGUUGGGUUAAGUCCCGCAACGAGCGCAACCCUUGCCAUUAGUUGCUACAUUCAGUUGGGCACUCUAAUGGGACUGCCGGUGACAAACCGGAGGAAGGUGGGGAUGACGUCAAGUCCUCAUGGCCCUUAUGGGUAGGGCUUCACACGUAAUACAAUGGCGCAUACAGAGGGCUGCAAACCCGCGAGGGGGAGCUAAUCCCAAAAAGUGCGUCGUAGUCCGGAUUGCUCUCUGCAACUCGAGAGCAUGAAGUUGGAAUCGCUAGUAAUCGCGGAUCAGCAUGUCGCGGUGAAUACGUUCCCGGGUCUUGUACACACCGCCCGU